rnacentral:misc_RNA from 1 species
GACACCUACACCAUCUUUUUAAACCACCUGUGCACACAAUGUAGAUCUGAAUGACUGUUUCAAGGAAACUUGAUUUUGAGGACUGCUUAUCAGCUGUUCUUGUGAUUCAGGUCUAUGAUUUAAUAUACUCCUUUUGUAACAAAAGUGAUGGAUUAUUACACCAAAUACAACUUUCAACAACGGAUCUCUUGGCUCUCGCAUCGAUGAAGAACGCAGCGAAAUGCGAUAAGUAAUGUGAAUUGCAGAAUUCAGUGAAUCAUCGAAUCUUUGAACGCACCUUGCGCUCCUUGGUAUUCUGAGGAGCAUGCCUGUUUGAGUGUCAUUAAAUUCUCAACCUUAUCCUGCUUUUAUAAGCUGUGGAUCAGGCUUUGGACUGUGGGAGCUGCUGNUCUUUUGAGAUUGGCUCUUCUUAAAUGCAUUA